rnacentral:rRNA from 1 species
GAUGAACGCUGGCGGCGUGCCUAAUACAUGCAAGUCGAGCGAAUGGAUUGAGAGCUUGCUCUUAUGAAGUUAGCGGCGGACGGGUGAGUAACACGUGGGUAACCUGCCCAUAAGACUGGGAUAACUCCGGGAAACCGGGGCUAAUACCGGAUAACAUUUUGAACCGCAUGGUUCGAAAUUGAAAGGCGGCUUCGGCUGUCACUUAUGGAUGGACCCGCGUCGCAUUAGCUAGUUGGUGAGGUAACGGAUCACCAAGGCAACGAUGCGUAGCCGAACUGAGAGGGUGAUCGGCCACACUGGGACUGAGACACGGCCCAGACUCCUACGGGAGGCAGCAGUAGGGAAUCUUCCGCAAUGGACGAAAGUCUGACGGAGCAACGCCGCGUGAGUGAUGAAGGCUUUCGGGUCGUAAAACUCUGUUGUUAGGGAAGAACAAGUGCUAGUUGAAUAAGCUGGCACCUUGACGGUACCUAACCAGAAAGCCACGGCUAACUACGUGCCAGCCGCCGCGGUAA